AUUGAACGCUGGCGGCAGGCCUAACACAUGCAAGUCGAAUGGAGCGGCGGACGGGUGAGUAAUGCCUAGAAAUCUGCCUGUGAGUGGGGGAUAACGUCCGGAACCGGGCGCUGAUACCGCAUCCUAUCAGAUGAGCCUAGGUCGGAUUAGCUAGUUGGUGGGGUAAAGGCCUACCAAGGCGACGAUCCGGAACUGUUCUGAGAGGAUGAUCAGUAACAUUGGAACUGAGACACGGGCCAGACUCCUACGUGAGUCAGCAGUGGGGAAUAUUGCACAAGGGGGGCAAGCCUGAUGCAGCCAUGCCGCGUGUAUGAAGAAGGCCUUCGGGUUGUAAAGUACUUUUAGCGGGGAGGCGUUACCCGCAGAAUAAGCACCGGCUAACUCCGUGCCAGCAGCCGCGGUAAUAC
rnacentral:rRNA from 1 species